rnacentral:misc_RNA from 1 species
UUCAUUGAGAACCAUAUCAAACUGCCCAUCACUUACUCCAUCACGAAAUAGUACAAUCGUGUCCGGCUUUACCUGAUUUAGCCUAGUAUAAGCAUUUACAAGCUCCAAACACAUGCCUCCAAAUUUGAGAAUCUUUUCUGCUCGAUGGUCUUGAGGACAAAUACGUGCAAUGUAUUGAUUUGCAGCUGGCCAAUUCAUGGUGCCAACAACAGCUGCAAUUGAAGGACUUGUUGAGUUGUAAGAGCCGGGAUGAUUAACAUCAGCACCAACAAACAUAACAUGGCCUUUACUUUGCAAGCUGUGGGGCUGCUCGAUGAGUUCCACGUUGCUGCCCCCAAGCUUCGCAUUGAUCUUUAGGGCAAGAUUUGCAAGAAACUGAUCUUUAGCCGUAUUGCAAUUUUUGGUUAAACAACAUUGAGUUAGGAUGCCAACUUUGGUCUCACUUAUCCACUUGAGAUUGUUGUAACCAGGAUCUUCCUUAGGCAUCACACAAACAAUAAUCUGCAAACAUGCUCCGCCAAUUUCAUAUGACUCGUUGUUAAGGCUUUUCAGCAGUUGAUGAAGAUCAUCAACUUCAUAUAAUAAAUUCAUCGGAAGACAUUUGUAGAAAAGAGGCUGCUCCAUGUGGAUGUCCAGUCUUUCACUGCGACAGAUCAGCUCAGGAAUUAAUUUUUCAAUACUAGGAGAGCCAAAGUCAAGUAUUCCCCAUAGCCUAAUUGGUUUGCUGGAAAUCACUGAGUUUCUUUUAAGGUUCCAAUCACAUUUAACUCUAUCAACUGUUGCCUUCGUCCAUCUUCCCUUUGAAGUGCCAAGCUUUAACCAUGGUGGCUUAAUAACCCGACCAAUAACUCUUGUCAUUUUCAAAUCCACCCCAAUCCCAAAAUUUUGAGGGAUAUCUCCACUGCAUGGUCCAUCUCUAUCGUGUACCAUGUCAUAUAUUGUGCUUUCUCUGACCUUUGGCCAAGCUAAUGAAAUCUCCCUCAACUUUUCUGAUUGUUUUUUGUCCAAAAGCUCCUUUGCAUACUUCUGCCCUCCAGCUAUCAUGCAGAACUCCAUAGGAACAUAAUUUUUCCUGUUGCUUUUUUUCCCCAAAUCUAAGCUUGGUAUGUUGCUGUGCAUAAUAUCUUUGUUGUAUUUUUCUCUAAAAUAAGAAACAAGGCUAACUUUCCUCGGAGGGGUCUGUUCACCUGGGUUUUCAAAGUCAAAAAAAAUAUCCUGUGUGUUCUCAUCAGUUAAUCCAGCAAUUUUGUACUUCUCAUUGGUAGUUCUGUGAGUCACAGUAACUUUCAAUCCCUUCAAAGCUUUCUCGACUUCCUUCAUGAACCCUCUGAAAUUGUUUGGAUUGAAGCCAGGAAUAUGCUCCUUGAGAAAAUCUAUAACAGGCAUUUGUUUGCGAAAUGGAAAAACUGAAUAGUCCAGACACAAGGCCAGACCCUGGCAGGUUGGCUUCAAGCUAUAUUUAAUCCCUCUAGAAGCUGUGAUGCCACGCCCAAGGUCAUCUUGUGGGCAAGGUCUGGUUGGAUGAAAGCUUCGACAAGCAUAAAUCAUUUGCCUUGCUGGAUUCUCCUUCAUGACCACAUCCAAAGCUUGUAGCACAUCACGAGGGAUGGACAAGGUUUUGCCACUUAUAUAAUCAUCCAACUUGCUACAUGGAAGCUCAUUCACAAGCUGAACUUCAACUCUGAAGUGACGGAUCUUCAUGCCUUCCUCAUUUGAUAAUUCCACCUUAAAUGUUCCUGUGGGUAGUGGCACUGCACUGAAAAUGUUUUUCUUACCAUCAUAUGCAGUCAUUGACAAGGGAAACUUGUCAGGGUCAUCUGAGAAUAACUUGUUGCGAAUCAUAGACAGAACAGCCUUUGGAAACUUCAUAGGCGGACCAUUUUUAGAGGGCAAAUCUGGUUUGACAUCAACAUCAUAGUGCCUAAUGAUGCUCCCAGAGUUAUAGUUAAGUAGAAAAUGAUUAACACAAAGCCCUAUACGCCGGCUAUCAUUUCUACCACCAUUAUCAGGUCGUUUAAUUGGGACAAGUUUGCCUGCAACUUCUGGAGGUGAAGAUGUUGAAAUUUUUAAUGCUUGCAUUGCUGAAACAAUUGGCUCAGAAAGUUUUUCAGGAGAAGAAUUAUGUGGCUCUAUCCGUGAAUGAACAGAAACAGCAGUGCUAGUGUGUCCCUGAAACCUGCCACCGGCAGGCCCCCAGUCCUCUCUUCCUCCUCCUGCUCCUCCACUACCUCCAUGCCCACCUCGUGCGGGCCUCACAAAACCACUACCAGGGCCACCCUGGCCAGGUCUCGAUUGCCAUUGAGUUUGAGUUCGACCAUCUUGGCCUGAAACCCAAUUCUGCUGUUGAUGAUGACGAGUCCGGUAUUGAUGAUCACCAGCACGACCACGACCACGACCACGACCGCGUCCACCAUCCUCACCGUUUCUUGCUCCUCCUGUCCCUCUUCCUCUCCCAGCAGAGUAUCUCCCCAUUGAUGAAAGUCCCAGUAAUGGAAAUGCUAUAAACUUGAAAGAAACUAAAGAAAAU